GGAAGGUAGGUUGCGAACGACACGCUGCGGUCUGCUCAUGUCCUUGGCAGUGGCAGCAGCGUACCAGAUUAUUAGAGUUAUAUUUGAGUACAUUUGCGGCUAACACUUUGAGUUAUUGAGCGUUCUGAACACACUUCAUUACUUCCUGAUACUUUCUGUACUGUAUUUGACUUCUCUCAGCGCUGGUUAUCAGUUUGAGUGAUGAAUCCUUUGACGAAAACGGCUGAUUUUAUUUUUCAUUUCUCUGACUGAAGCCUGUAAUGUGUUGCAGACCUUUUGUUUUUCAUCCAGCAGUGAUUCCAGGAUGUGCUGGUUUGCUCGAGCAGUCAGCGGAGAGAUGACUGAGCAGAAAUGGACACCAGAGUACCUGCAGCAGAGCCACGCAGGAGGCUGUUUGGAUAAGCGGAGCGUCUGGCUGCAGGUAGCAGCCGAGCUCAGCAAACAGCCGACCUUUCCCAUGAAUGGACGCCAACACCCAGAAGAGAGUCAUCCUAAAACUGCCAAUCUCUGUUUUUACUCAGUCGUUCGGAUGGAAAGAUGCUUCCACUGCCCGCAGGCUGAUGCAGAUUGAAGUGAAGUAUUGAUUACAGCCUCCAUCUGUUGUGCGUUUUCUCUGCACUUUUCUUUUUUUCCUCCCUCUUCUUUCUAUUGUGAAUUACUCCCUUUGUUGUGUGUUAUUUUUCCCAUCCAUACUCAGGCUAUUUCCAUGAGUCACUCAAAGUGCUCACUGCUGCAGUCCAGGCCCAAGUAUUAUUACAGACAGACUCCUUGUUUAUGGUUUUCUCAUCAAUAAAUGGCCUAUUGUCUCCGGACACUAUUGGA